rnacentral:rRNA from 1 species
UACGUAGGGUGCAAGCGUUGUCCGGAAUUAUUGGGCGUAAAGAGCUCGUAGGCGGCUUGUCGCGUCGGCUGUGAAAACCUGGGGCUCAACCCCGGGCCUGCAGCCGAUACGGGCAAGCUAGAAUUCGGUAGGGGAGACUGGAAUUCCUGGUGUAGCGGUGAAAUGCGUAGAUAUCCGGAGGAACACCGGUGGCGAAGGCGGCUUCCUGGACCGACACUGACGCUGAGGCGCGAAAGCUAGGGGAGCAAACGGG